rnacentral:tRNA from 1 species
GGAUGGGUAGCCAAGUGGUUUACGGCAACGGUCUUGAAAACCGUCGAAUCGAAAGGUUCCGUGGGUUCGAAUCCCACCCCAUCCGCCA